GUGAGGAAUAUUGGUCAAUGGGCGAGAGCCUGAACCAGCCAAGUCGCGUGAAGGAAGAAGGAUCUAUGGUUCGUAAACUUCUUUUGCAGGGGAAUAAAGUGCAGGACGUGUUCUGUUUUGUAUGUACCCUGAGAAUAAGGAUCGGCUAACUCCGUGCCAGCAGCCGCGGUAAUACGGAGGAUCCGAGCGUUAUCCGGAUUUAUUGGGUUUAAAGGGUGCGUAGGUGGUUUGAUAAGUCAGCGGUGAAAGUUUGCAGCUUAACUGUAAAAAUGCCGUUGAAACUGUCGGACUUGAGUGUAAAUGAGGUAGGCGGAAUGCGUGGUGUAGCGGUGAAAUGCAUAGAUAUCACGCAGAACUCCGAUUGCGAAGGCAGCUUACUAAGCUACAACUGACACUGAAGCACGAAAGCGUGGGGAUCAAACAGGAUUAGAUACCCCGGUAGUCC
rnacentral:rRNA from 1 species